rnacentral:rRNA from 1 species
UGGGAUAACCUCGGGAAACUGGGUAUAAUACCCGAUAGGUCUCGAUUGCUGGAAUGCAUCGAGAUUUAAAGCUCCGGCGCCUAAGGAUGGGUCUGCGGCCUAUCAGGUAGUAGUGGGUGUAGCGUACCUACUAGCCUACGACGGGUACGGGUUGUGAGAGCAAGAGCCCGGAGAUGGAUUCUGAGACACGAAUCCAGGCCCUACGGGGUGCAGCAGGCGCGAAAACUUUACAAUGCUGGCAACAGCGAUAAGGGAACCUCGAGUGCCAGGUUACAAAUCUGGCUGUCGAGAUGCCUAAAAAGCAUUUCAUAGCAAGGGCCGGGCAAGACCGGUGCCAGCCGCCGCGGUAACACCGGCGGCUCGAGUGGUAACCGUUAUUAUUGGGUCUAAAGGGUCUGUAGCCGGCCGGAUAAGUCUCUUGAGAAAUCUGGCAGCUUAACUGUCAGGCUUUCAGGAGAUACUGUCUGGCUCGAGGCCGGGAGAGGUGAGAGGUACUUCAGGGGUAGGGGUGAAAUCUUGUAAUCCUUGAAGGACCACCAGUGGCGAAGGCGUCUCACCAGAACGGACCUGACGGCAAGGGACGAAAGCUAGGGGCACGAACCGGAUUAGAUACCCGGGUAGUCCUAGCCGUAAACGAUACUCGCUAGGUGUCGGCCACGGUGCGACCGUUGUCGGUGCCGUAGGGAAGCCGUGAAGCGAGCCACCUGGGAAGUACGGCCGCAAGGCUGAAACUUAAAGGAAUUGGCGGGGGAGCACCACAACGGGUGGAGCUUGCGGUUUAAUUGGAUUCAACGCCGGAAAUCUUACCGGGACCGACAGCAAUAUGAAGGCCAGGCUGAAGACUUUGCCGGAUUAGCUGAGAGGUGGUGCAUGGCCGUCGUCAGUUCGUACUGUGAAGCAUCCUGUUAAGUCAGGCAACGAGCGAGACCCACGCCCACAGUUGCCAGCGUACUCUCUGGAGUGACGGGUACACUGUGGGGACCGCCGCUGCU